rnacentral:rRNA from 1 species
UACAGAGGGUGCGAGCGUUAAUCGGAAUUACUGGGCGUAAAGCGCGCGUAGGCGGCUUUGCAAGUCGGGUGUGAAAUCCCCAGGCUUAACCUGGGAACUGCAUUCGAGACUGCAUUGCUAGAGUAUGGGAGAGGGAAGUGGAAUUUCCGGUGUAGCGGUGAAAUGCGUAGAUAUCGGAAGGAACAUCAGUGGCGAAAGCGACUUCCUGGACCAAUACUGACGCUCAUGUGCGGAAGCGUGGGUAGCAAACAGG